UCACUUUGGCAGUGCAUAUACUAAAAUUGGAAUGAUACAGAGAAGAUUAGCACAGCCCCAGUGCCAGGAUGACACACAAAAUCUUGAAGCAUUCCAUAUUUUU